rnacentral:rRNA from 1 species
GUGUCAGCAGCCGCGGUAAUACGUAGGUGGCAAGCGUUGUCCGGAAUUAUUGGGCGUAAAGCGCGCGCAGGCGGUUAUGUAAGUCUGAUGUUAAAGCCCGGGGCUCAACCUCGGUCCGCAUUGGAAACUGUGUAACUUGAGUGCAGAAGAGGAAAGUGGUAUUCCACGUGUAGCGGUGAAAUGCGUAGAGAUGUGGAGGAACACCAGUGGCGAAGGCGACUUUUUGG